rnacentral:rRNA from 1 species
GAUGAACGCUGGCGGCGUGCCUAAUACAUGCAAGUCGAGCGAACAGACGAGGAGCUUGCUCCUCUGACGUUAGCGGCGGACGGGUGAGUAACACGUGGAUAACCUACCUAUAAGACUGGGAUAACUUCGGGAAACCGUAGCUAAUACCGGAUAAUAUAUUGAACCGCAUGUUAAAUAAUUAAAAGAUGCUUUUGCAUCACUUCUAGAUGGAUCCGCGCGGUAUUAGCUAGUUGGUAAGGUAACGGCUUACCAAGGCGACGAUGCUUAGCCGACCUGAGAGGGUGAUCGGCCACACGGGAACUGAGACACGGUCCAGACUCCUACGGGAGGCAGCAGUAGGGAAUCUUCCGCAAUGGGCGAAAGCCUGACGGAGCAACGCCGCGUGAGUGAUGAAGGUCUUCGGAUCGUAAAACUCUGUUAUUAGGGAAGAACAAAUGUGUAAGUAACUAUGCACGGCUUGACGGUACCUAAUCAGAAAGCCACGGCUAACUACGUG